GUUGAGUUCCACUGUUGCCUAGUCUCCUUUCUGACUUGACCGUCGGAGGGUCCCCGUCGGAGGCAUCUUUGAUCAGUAAGAAUUUUUCUUGCAGGUGCACGACUCUGACGAUCGGACGAUGAAAAAAUUGACCGUAACACAAUCAAAUCUUGAAGUAGCCUUAGAGUUGAUAGACUACUGCGUUUUUGAUAACUCAUGCUAAAAACUAUAGUUAAACCAACCAAUUUGCCAAAAGAAGAAAAAUACU
rnacentral:lncRNA from 1 species